rnacentral:rRNA from 1 species
GGCGAGUGGCGAACGGGUGAGUAAUACAUCGCGAACGUGUCCUGGAGUGGGGGAUAGCCCGGCGAAAGCCGGAUUAAUACCGCAUACGAUCUUGGGAUGAAAGCGGGGGACCGAAAGGCCUCGCGCUCAAGGGGCGGCCGAUGGCAGAUUAGCUAGUUGGUGGGGUAAAGGCCUACCAAGGCGACGAUCUGUAGCUGGUCUGAGAGGACGACCAGCCACACUGGGACUGAGACACGGCCCAUACUCCUACGGGAGGCAGCAGUGGGGAAUUUUGGACAAUGGGGGCAACCCUGAUCCAGCAAUGCCGCGUGUGUGAAGAAGGCCUUCGGGUUGUAAAGCACUUUUGUCCGGAAAGAAAACCUCCGUCCUAAUACGGUGGGGGGAUGACGGUACCGGAAGAAUAAGCACCGGCUAACUACGUGCCAGCAGCCGCGGUAAUACGUAGGGUGCAAGCGUUAAUCGGAAUUACUGGGCGUAAAGCGUGCGCAGGCGGUUCGCUAAGACCGAUGUGAAAUCCCCGGGCUUAACCUGGGAACUGCAUUGGUGACUGGCGGGCUAGAGUAUGGCAGAGGGGGGUAGAAUUCCACGUGUAGCAGUGAAAUGCGUAGAGAUGUGGAGGAAUACCGAUGGCGAAGGCAGCCCCCUGGGCCAAUACUGACGCUCAUGCACGAAAGCGUGGGGAGCAAACAGGAUU